UGGAGGUUGGUUCAGUAACAGCAUACGGGUCUGUGAUUCCCGAGACAUGGGUGCGAUUCCCAUACCUCCAACCA
rnacentral:tRNA from 1 species